UGACCUACGGGAGGCAGCAGUGGGGGAUAUUGCACAAUGGGGGGAACCCUGAUGCAGCGACGCCGCGUGGGCGAUGGAGUGCUUCGGCAUGUAAAGCCCUAUCAGCAGGGAAGAAAAUGACGGUACCUGACUAAGAAGCCCCGGCUAAAUACGUGCCAGCAGCCGCGGUAAUACGUAUGGGGCAAGCGUUAUCCGGAUUUACUGGGUGUAAAGGGAGCGUAGGCGGCCUGGCAAGCCUGAUGUGAAAUACCGGGGCCCAACCCCGGGACUGCAUUGGAAACUGCAUGGCUGGAGGGUCGGGGAGG
rnacentral:rRNA from 1 species